rnacentral:rRNA from 1 species
UACGUAGGGUGCGAGCGUUAAUCGGAAUUACUGGGCGUAAAGCGUGCGCAGGCGGCGCGUUAAGACAGGUGUGAAAGCCCCGAGCUUAACUUGGGAAUUGCGCUUGUGACUGGCGUGCUGGAGUGUGGCAGAGGGAGGUGGAAUUCCACGUGUAGCAGUGAAAUGCGUAGAGAUGUGGAGGAACACCGAUGGCGAAGGCAGCCUCCUGGGCCAGCACUGACGCUCAUGCACGAAGGCCAGGGGAGCAAACGGG